AAAAAAAGGACAAACACAAAGACAAAAAGAGGAAGAGAACACAGGGAAAGAGGGUGGGAAAAUAGCAAAAUCCUUGGGGCCUAUUCACUUGUGAAAAAUUGCGGUAGUUUUCUAGAAAAACUUUCUAAUAAAACUAGAAAAUAGAGUUCCAUGUCCACAUGUGCCAGUUUUCCUUCUUUUCCCUUCUUCAAGGCUACUGCACCAUUUCUUCUACAUCUCUUAAUCAAUAGGCGGUUCAUAACUUCAUAUAACCAAUGAUGGUCAGGAGUGCUUAGACAUGAAUAAUUAUUUUACCUAUUAUGCAUUCUAUUCUAUACAUAACAUCAUAAUCUUCAGGACCUUGUUCUCCUGUCCCUACAAAAAUAUCAAAGCAAAUCAUUUAUCCCAACUAUGCCUUUUGGUGUUUGUCUAGACUGUCUAGUUUUAAGUUGAAUUGAUGCAAAAGUAUUACUGCCUUUUUCAUAGUUGAAAAAGAAGCACUACCCUACUUUUAUCAUUUUCAAUCAGCUUAUUCUGCUAGGAAUGCAGUUCAUAAUGUGGAAUGUAUUAGUGAUAAUU
rnacentral:misc_RNA from 1 species